rnacentral:rRNA from 1 species
AAAUUGAAGAGUUUGAUCAUGGCUCAGAUUGAACGCUGGCGGCAGGCCUAACACAUGCAAGUCGAACGGUAACAGGAAGCAGCUUGCUGCUUUGCUGACGAGUGGCGGACGGGUGAGUAAUGUCUGGGAAACUGCCUGAUGGAGGGGGAUAACUACUGGAAACGGUGGCUAAUACCGCAUAACGUCGCAAGACCAAAGAGGGGGACCUUCGGGCCUCUUGCCAUCAGAUGUGCCCAGAUGGGAUUAGCUUGUUGGUGAGGUAACGGCUCACCAAGGCGACGAUCCCUAGCUGGUCUGAGAGGAUGACCAGCCACACUGGAACUGAGACACGGUCCAGACUCCUAC